GUAGUGUAGUGUAGUGUAGUGUAGUGUAGUGUAGUGUAGUGUAGUGUAGUGUAGUGUAGUGUAGUGUGGUGUAGUGUAGUGUAGUGUGGUGUAGUGUAGUGUAGUGUAGUGUAGUGUAGUGUAGUGUAGUGUAGUGUAGUGUAUGACUGCAAUCCAACUUGUCUUGAAUGUGCUAUAUACGCUGCCGCCGGAAUACGCGAAUAUUGCGAAUAUGCUGCAUACUAAAAAUAUCCGCUUGACUGACAUCGAUCACAAACAUGAAUGAAGUUAUGAAGGUAACUUCAAUGCCAA